CAGCAGCCGCGGGAAUACGGAGGAUCCGAGCGUUAUCCGGAAUCAUUGGGUUUAAAGGGUCCGUAGGCGGUCUUGUAAGUCAGUGGUGAAAGCCCAUCGCUCAACGGUGGAACGGCCAUUGAUACUGCAGGACUUGAAUUAUUGGGAAGUAACUAGAAUAUGUAGUGUAGCGGUGAAAUGCUUAGAGAUUACAUGGAAUACCAAUUGCGAAGGCAGGUUACUACCAAUUGAUUGACGCUGAUGGACGAAAGCGUGGGUAGCGAACAGGAUUAGAUACCCCGGUAGUCCCUGUCUCUUAUAC
rnacentral:rRNA from 1 species